UACGAAGGGGGCUAGCGUUGCUCGGAAUUACUGGGCGUAAAGGGCGCGUAGGCGGACAGUUUAGUCAGAGGUGAAAGCCCAGGGCUCAACCCUGGAAUUGCCUUUGAUACUGACUGUCUUGAGUACGGGAGAGGUGUGUGGAACUCCGAGUGUAGAGGUGAAAUUCGUAGACAUCAGGAGGAACACCAGUGGCGAAGGCGGCUUUCUGGACGGUUACUGACGCUGAGACGCGAAAGCGUGGGGAGCAAACAGG
rnacentral:rRNA from 1 species